rnacentral:rRNA from 1 species
UACGUAGGGUGCGAGCGUUGUCCGGAAUUAUUGGGCGUAAAGGGCUCGUAGGCGGUUUGUCGCGUCGGGAGUGAAAACCCAGGGCUUAACCCUGGGCUGGCUUCCGAUACGGGCAGACUAGAGGUAUGCAGGGGAGAACGGAAUUCCUGGUGUAGCGGUGAAAUGCGCAGAUAUCAGGAGGAACACCGGUGGCGAAGGCGGUUCUCUGGGCAUUACCUGACGCUGAGAAGCGAAAGCAUGGGGAGCGAACAGG